rnacentral:snRNA from 1 species
GGAUGUGAGGGUGAUCUGGCUGCGACAUCUGUCACCCCAUUGAUUGCCAGGGUUGAUUUGGCUGAUCUGGCUGGCUAAGCGGGUGUCCCCUUCCUCCCUCACCGCUCCAUGUGUGUCCUUCCUGAAGCUGCACGUGCGCUCGGUCAAGAGGACAGCCUUCCUCAAAUAGAGAUGGACCGGUCUUUGGUCGAGAGUAUACGAGUAGCUGUGCACCCCUGCUAGAAGCUCCAAACAAGCUUUCAAGGUUGAGCCAACCUUGCUUUCCUGAAAUAUGCCCUAUUAGUUAUGGUGAAUGUUCUU